UACACUAGGAUGUGUCUGGGUUCUGUUAAUGAAGGACCGUUUUACAAAUUCUGUCAAGAUAUAGAAGGAAUGGAGAGUAAGGAUAUAAUUUUACACUGUAAAGUUGCUAAAACGGUUGACUAGUAAUAGCAACAUGCAACCAGCAGAUGGCAGCGUUGUUUCGUUAUAGGGAGUCAGUAUCAAAGAGCUGACGAACAAAAACUGUGCUAGUCACAGACCAAGCACAAGACGAGACCAUUUUCUAUUAGAUAAGCAAUGAAAGAAUAAAUCUGUCUUCUAUUCUCUACAGAUGAUGAACACUUCUUCAAGCGAGUAACAAUAGAAAACCAUUAAGCUACUUUGCAAUGUAAUGAAUAAUUUUGUCACAGGCAAAACACAAUGUCUCAAUCAAGGACACACAGUCUCUGUAGGAAUCAAUGAAUGGUGGAGAUAUUCACUAAGGCAGCGACACACAAUACAGUUUUUUCAGAUAAGCAGAAAACUACACUCGUCUAUCUCUAUAACUGAGCCAUGAUAUGCCGGAAACUGGAAUAUGAUACCAGAGAGAAGAUCCAGUGGGACUGAAACCAUACAUCCACCUUAAAUAGAUGUCUAAACCAUGACCUUGAAUAAAAGUGAACACAGAGAGCUCAGCAGCAUCUGACACAGUUUCCUGGACAGCAUAUGCAUUAUGAGGUUGCAAUAAGAUGUUACUUAUAACUGCUAACAUGAAAAUCCAUUACAAGCUCAGCAUUACAAAGUGUUCCUAUGCAGGUCAAGUAGCACCCCAGUGGGUGAUAAUCUGUAUCACUGAACGAAUGAGGUCAUAAAAAUGAUGCAAUCCCCGUGUGUCUAAAGUGUGUGUCCGUAUUUGUGUGGGAGUGUGUGUACGAUUAUCCUCAUUUACUUUGCUCCAGUUCUUCUUCAUCAGACUGACUCAGGGGACCAGAAAGAGGAGAAGAAAGCACUUCUGACCUUAAACCAGACUUAAAUGCCACUUUUAUUUAUGGGUGAUUCCUGUUUAUUGAACUUCUACACUCUCAAAAGACACAGGCCCCGCUGAGUCAUAGUCGGUCAUAUUUUCUCAUUAAUUUUCAGUUAUUAAGGGUUUUUUCACCGGAAGGGCCCAAAUUGCUGAUUAAAGGUAAGUGGAAAUGGCUGCUUGAAAGGGCAAUUAGAACAUUUUAAUCACAAAGAGUGGGAAAUAAAACUGGUGCCAUCUAAAUGACGUUUAUAAUUUGAACAACAAGAAGCAGAAGAUUAUUUUUCAGAGGAUUUUAUUCCUUUAAAAAUAAAGGGUAAACAUAAAGCUUCAGGAUAUAUAGGUAACAUAAUUUCAGAUUUCUCUAUAAAACAUUUUCUGAUAAGUUUGCAUCACUGGAGAAAAAUCAGCUUUUUAACUUUUUUUUUAACUUUUACUUUUACUUUGUCUUAUCUUUAAAUUCUCCCCUCACCUCAGAAUAUAUAAAAGUUGUUAUGAAUGCAGUAGCAGUGUGCAGAAUGUAGCAUCUCCUUCCCAGAGACGCAAGGCCUUGAUCAAAAACAAUGUGUGCAUAUACAGUAGCAUGUGGCAGGGAGCUAGUCUUUGAAGAAAAGACCUGCCAACCCCACAGAGAGCAGCUAUAAUUUCCUGUACAGCAACAGCAGUACUGAAAUAUGCUUAUCCACUGUGACCAAUUAGAGACAGUUUCCAUCACAGAGGGAUCCUGACUCAGGCUUUCCUCACCAAGAAGCAAACGUGCUCUGCAGAGUGGGGAGUGCCAGCAAGAGACAACACAGCACGCAGCAGGGAAAGCUGCCUUAAUCAGGGUGAAAAUGACGUUGAUGAGACAGAUUUGAGAGAGCAGAGAAGAUCUACUGGCAGGCCAAACAAUCAUCAGUGGAGCCAUAAAGUGGAUCUGGCCAGGGCCAAAAGCCAGAGGGGUCACCACAGUGGAUCAUCUGCCACCUCACCCUAUCCCUAGCAUCCUCUUCUGUCACACCAACCCUCUGCAUGUCCUCCUUCAUCACAUGCGUGAAUUUUCUAUUUUCCUCCUGCCCGGCACCUCCAUAUUCAACAAACUUUGUCCAGUAUAUCCAACUUUGUCUUCAAAACGUUCAAUGUUUCUGUCAGAGUGCUACAAAGAUUGAUGCUAAUAUUAAACAUGACCAACAUUUCAAAUAAUGAGGUCAGCGUCUGUGCAAGUAGUCCCUAUGAGCAAGCUCCAGCUUCAAGCUUCAAACACAGUUUCUGAACAUGUAUCCUUAGUAUGGCUUUCUCAGUGCUCACUGCUCUACCUUAGAACACAAAGGCCCCACCCACUUAGUGUUCAAACCUUCUGUUUGAGAGGGCGAGCCAAUCAGAAGCAGUUUAACAAAAAAUGAGCAAAAAUGAAGAGAAACCUGAGUGGAUGAAGUUAAGGUAAGACAAAUGAAGUCAACUCAUUAGAAUUACACACAAUUCAGCAGUUAUAACGAGCAACAGUACACAAUGUAUUACAAAGACUUGUCUCAUAAAAGAAGUGUACAAUGUAUGCGUCAUUCACUAACCAUGGUGAUACAACGAAACAACAUAACGCCACGGGCUAUAUUAAAAAAAAAAAAGUGUUUAUGUAAGCAUGAAUCAUCCUUAAGAGACCUCAAGGGUUUCAUAUUAGACGAAGCGUUUUACACCUGUCCCCUGCUGCUCGACUGUAGCUGAGGAAAACAACUUUGUGCGCCAUGGCAGUGAUACUGGC